rnacentral:rRNA from 1 species
GACGAACGCUGGCGGCGUGCCUAACACAUGCAAGUCGAGCGGGGUCCAUCCAGUGGCAACACUGGGGAAGACCUAGCGGCGAACGGGUGAGUAACACGUGAGGAACCUGCCCCGAAGACCGGGAUAACCCGAGGAAACUCAAGCUAAUACCGGAUACCCCCACGAGAUCGCAUGGUCUUGUGAGGAAAUGUCUUUUCGCUUCGGGAGGGCCUCGCGGCCUAUCAGCUAGUUGGCGGGGUAACGGCCCACCAAGGCAUCGACGGGUAGCUGGUCUGAGAGGACGAUCAGCCACACUGGGACUGAGACACGGCCCAGACUCCUACGGGAGGCAGCAGUGGGGAAUCUUGCGCAAUGGGCGAAAGCCUGACGCAGCAACGCCGCGUGGGGGACGAAGGCUCUCGGGUUGUAAACCCCCUUUCAGGAGGGACGAAAUUGACGGUACCUCCAGAAGAAGCCCCGGCCAACUACGUGCCAGCAGCCGCGGUAAU